CACACUGACAGCAGUGCUCUAUAUCCUAUACCUAGUUGCAAAGGUCCAUCAAAAAGACCCCAAGCCAAAGAGCCUCUCGGUGCGGUGUACAGUAUGAUUGGAGCUCCUUCAAGGCCACCUCCAGCACAUCAUCUGGGAGGGGAUACGUAUUCUACAGUCACCAAGAGUUUCGCAGGAACACCAAGAACCUAAACCCUGUUUAAACUAGAAGCACUCAGAGAGCGCAAACCUCCGCCGGCCCUUUCCCAUUUCUCUCUCCCCACUCGCUUCCUGUCACCACAUUCA